GGAGGGGAGCCAACGAAAGGUUAAAGAGGCCGGCAGUGGAGGCAGCAGGUUGGACAUUGCUAACGGGAAGAGGGAGGAGACCAGAGCCACGGCCCAGCUGUGAGGCGGAAAAGGAGAGUGUACUCCAAAGCACAACACCACAUGCGGCGCUGGAUGCCAGCAGCCCCCUCCUGGUGACCGCGGCCCGGGCCGGGGGCUCACAGAUAGGAUCCCUCCCAGCACCCGGGGAGGGGGAGGAAGGCUCAGGAGGCAGACCGCAGGCGAGGCGCCGAGGCUGCCCGUCGCCUCUGCAUCAGUGUCGCCACCUCUCCCCAGCCCACUGUUGGCCCAUCCGACGCCGAGACAGCUGGGACCGGCAGGUCCUUAACCGGCCCUCCAGGCCUGGGGGACCAAAGCCCCCGGAAGCUCCGCCACCCGCGUCCCAGCCGCGGCCCGAACAGGUCCAAAGUGGCCGCCAAGGAAAACAACCCUGCGCGGUCCGACAGGAGCGGGAGGAGCAGAUCGCGGGCUCCGGGCCACCGUGGGGGCCCUACGGGAGGGGACUGCGGUUCGGGGGCGGGACCGGGACGGGACCAACGCGUGGAAGGCUCACUCACCACCAGAUCGGGUAGCUGCCCAAUGCCAGCUUCAGGCCGCAGAGUAAUAAGAAGUAUCCAAGCGGGGCCAUCGCCGGGCGGGAGAGCGCCAAGCGCCGGGAGUCCGCCCCGAGAGCGCGGGCGCCAGGGCGGGCCGGGCCCUGGGAGCUGGCGCUGCGGCCGCAGGGGACGCGGGGAGGAGAAUGCGGCCCGUGAGGAGGAGAGGCCGCUGCGCCCUGGGCACCCACCGCGAUGUCCGUUCCCGAGGCUGGCAGUCAGGGCUGACUGCUGGUGACAACCGGGAGCUUCUUCAGCCCGAAGGGAUUACUGACAAGUUUGGUAUGCAGGGGGCAGAGAAAAAGCCCAGCGCCAGCCUUUGAAGCAUUUCCCAUGUGUCCUCUCCCAGGUGAGGGCUGCAGCCACCUGUGGGCCCAGCAUGAGCUUGCCCUGGUUUGCUUCCUUCCUCUCCCUGUCCUUCCUUUCCUUUUGAUGACUUCUCUGCAAAGCUCGCUGUGAAUGCCAUGUGUGCAGGCAGCGUGGGGCGGCUCUGGGCCAGGGCCGGAGCUGGCCUUUUCUAGUGUCAACACAUGGAGCCUCUUUGCUAUCAGCUAUAGAUCCGUUUGCCCCAUGCUCCCACAGCAUCCAAGGUCCACGGGUUAUCCGUGAGUCUGCUGAGCGGCAUUAAAGAAGAAGGCUUUCCCUGGCACCAAGGGAUUACUACCAAGCACCAGCUAUGAUGUGGCUGGAGAAGGACCUUGAAUAAAAGGGUCAAUUCGACCAGCAGAAUAUGUCAGCCUACAGGUAACAUCCGGAGUUAAAAAUGUUUUUUGACCCUGAAUAAAAUGGGGAAAUAAAAAGGACAAAUGAGUUUAUAUGCCUAGGAGUCUCCAAAAAAGAGCCGGGAGGUCAUCAGAGGGGUUGCCCUCAUGCACACCUCAGCCCAGUUCCAGAGGCAGAUAAAGUAGAUACAACCCCAGGUAUUGGUUCUUCUGAGGGCUACAGAGACCCACAGGUUCUAUGGUCAUGGCAGAUGGAGUUCAGUGCCAUGUCAGCUGGCCCUACUUUGGAGUUUGUGGUCCUGAGUGUGACGGAGCUGGACUCAGGUGUGAUCUUUGUUCACAAGCCUCUCCUGUCGCUUUUACUGAACCUGUGGUUGGCGCUGGGGUUUAGUGUAUACUCAGGGGACCUGAAUCUCUGGACUGUCCAUGUGACAGCCAGGCCCUGAGCCUCACUAGACUUGCAACUCCUACAUUCUGGUUUAUUGGACUUACCCCACUCAGCUAACAUGGAGGCAAGGAAGGUCAACCACCGCACCAGGGAGCCAAGAGUGCCUACAACUGAAAGCAGGAGAAUUGCAUCCAGCAUCCAAGUGGAAUCUAAGGCCCCUCUCGAUACAGAAGUGGAGCAGACAUCACCAU
ensembl:lincRNA